rnacentral:piRNA from 1 species
AGAAGUUGAUGUACAAGAAGUAGUUUA